rnacentral:rRNA from 1 species
AUACGUAGGUGGCAAGCGUUGUCCGGAUUUAUUGGGCGUAAAGCGAGUGCAGGCGGUUUUUUAAGUCUGAUGUGAAAGCCUUCGGCUUAACCGAAGAAGGGCAUCGGAAACUGGGGAACUUGAGUGCAGAAGAGGAGAGUGGAACUCCAUGUGUAGCGGUGAAAUGCGUAGAUAUAUGGAAGAACACCAGUGGCGAAGGCGGCUCUCUGGUCUGUAACUGACGCUGAGGCUCGAAAGCGUGGGUAGCAAACAGGAUUAGAUACCCUGGUAGUCCACGCCGUAAACGAUGAGUGCUAAGUGUUGGGGGGUUUCCGCCCCUCAGUGCUGCAGCUAACGCAUUAAGCACUCCGCCUGGGGAGUACGACCGCAAGGUUGAA